CUCUUUCUCUCUCACACAACAAGUCACAACUCACAACAAACAAACCAAACCCCGCAACUCAUUCAUUCACUCCCAAAACCAAACCCUUCUCUUUCCUUCAUUUCUCCCCAAUUGGAUCUGAUCUUCAUAAACCCACCCCCAUUUGAUCAGAUCGACAUUCUGCUCUCAGUCAGGGAAGGGCAUUUUCAUUGAAAUGGGAAUGCCCA
rnacentral:lncRNA from 1 species